UACGAAGGGGGCUAGCGUUGCUCGGAAUUACUGGGCGUAAAGCGCACGUAGGCGGCUUUCUAAGUCGGGGGGUGAAAUCCUGGAGCUCAACUCCAGAACUGCCUUCGAUACUGGAGAGCUCGAGUCCGGGAGAGGUGAGUGGAACUGCGAGUGUAGAGGUGAAAUUCGUAGAUAUUCGGAAGAACACCAGUGGCGAAGGCGGCUCACUGGACUGGUAUUGACGCUGAGGUGCGAAAGCGUGGGGAGCGAACAGG
rnacentral:rRNA from 1 species